AGCGAACGUUAGCGGCGGGCCUAACACAUGCAAGUCGUACGAGAAAGUUCCUUCGGGAACCGGUAAAGUGGCGCACGGGUGAGUAACACGUAGGUAACCACCCCUCCGGCGGGGGACAACUUUUCGAAAGGAAAGCUAAUACCGCAUAAGACCACACUGCCUUCGGGUAGAGUGGGAAAAGAUGGCCUCUUCAUGAAAGCUAUCUCCGGAGGACGGGCCUGCGUCCCAUCAGCUUGUUGGUAAGGUAAUGGCUUACCAAGGCGAAGACGGGUAGCUGGUCUGAGAGGAUGAUCAGCCACACUGGUACUGGAACACGGACCAGACUCCUGCGGGAGGCAGCAGUGAGGAAUAUUGGGCAAUGGGCGCAAGCCUGACCCAGCCACGCCGCGUGAGUGAUGAAGGCCUUCGGGUUGUAAAGCUCUGUGGGAGAGGGAAGAAAAGACGAGAGAUAAUACCUCUCGGAAUUGACGGUACCUUUCCAGAAAGCACCGGCUAACUCUGUGCCAGCAGCCGCGGUAAGACAGAGGGUGCAAACGUUGCUCGGAAUUACUGGGCGUAAAGCGCGCGUAGGCGGGCUUGUAAGUCGGAAGUGAAAUCCCUGGGCUCAACCCAGGAACUGCUUUCGAAACUACAAGCCUUGAGUGAUGGAGAGGGAAGUGGAAUUCUUGGUGUAGAGGUGAAAUUCGUAGAUAUCAAGAGGAACAUCUGUGGCGAAGGCGGCUUCCUGGACAUCUACUGACGCUGAGGCGCGAAAGUGUGGGGAGCAAACAGGAUUAGAUACCCUGGUAGUCCACACCGUAAACGAUGAGUGCUAGGUGUCGUGGGUAUUGACCCCUACGGUGCCGUAGCUAACGCGUUAAGCACUCCGCCUGGGGAGUACGGCCGCAAGGCUAAAACUCAAAGGAAUUGACGGGGGCCCGCACAAGCAGUGGAGCAUGUGGUUUAAUUCGACGCAACGCGCAGAACCUUACCUAGGCUAGAAAAGCAGAGAAUCCCGCAGAAACGUGGGAGUGCUCGCAAGAGAACUCUGAUCCAGGUGCUGCAUGGCUGUCGUCAGCUCGUGUCGUGAGAUGUUGGGUUAAGUCCCGCAACGAGCGCAACCUCUAUCCUUAGUUGCCAGCGAGUAAUGUCGGGAACUCUAAGGAGACUGCCGGGGUGAACCCGGAGGAAGGUGGAGAUGACGUCAAGUCCUCAUGGCCCUUAUGUCUAGGGCUACACACGUGCUACAAUGGUCGGUACAAAGUGCUGCGAACUAGCGAUAGUAAGCGAAUCACAAAAAGCCGGCCUCAGUACGGAUUGCAGUCUGCAACUCGACUGCAUGAAGGCGGAAUUGCUAGUAAUCGUUGAUCAGCAGGCAACGGUGAAUACGUUCCCGGGCCUUGUACACACCGCCCGUCACACCAUGGGAGUCGAGUGCUCCAGAAGUGGCCGUGCCAACCCGCAAGGGAAGCAGGUCCCCAAGGAGUGCUUGGUAACUGGGGUG
rnacentral:rRNA from 1 species